rnacentral:rRNA from 1 species
GAUGAACGCUGGCGGCGUGCCUAAUACAUGCAAGUCGAGCGAACAGACGAGGAGCUUGCUCCUUUGACGUUAGCGGCGGACGGGUGAGUAACACGUGGAUAACCUACCUAUAAGACUGGGAUAACUUCGGGAAACCGGAGCUAAUACCGGAUAACAUGUUGAACCGCAUGGUUCAACAGUGAAAGACGGUCUUGCUGUCACUUAUAGAUGGAUCCGCGCCGCAUUAGCUAGUUGGUAAGGUAACGGCUUACCAAGGCAACGAUGCGUAGCCGACUUGAGAGGGUGAUCGGCCACACUGGAACUGAGACACGGUCCAGACUCCUACGGGAGGCAGCAGUAGGGAAUCUUCCGCAAUGGGCGAAAGCCUGACGGAGCAACGCCGCGUGAGUGAAGAAGGUCUUCGGAUCGUAAAACUCUGUUAUUAGGGAAGAACAAAUGUGUAAGUAACUAUGCACGUCUUGACGGUACCUAAUCAGAAAGCCACGGCUAACUACGUG